GCUCUAGUGGAUCAGUGGUUAGAGCAUAGGGUCAACACCACCACGACCCAGGUUCGAAUCCCGACACGAGAC
rnacentral:tRNA from 1 species